UGCGUAGGUGGCGAUGUAAGUCUGGUGUGAAAUCUCGGGGCUCAACCCCGAAAUUGCACCGGAUACUGCGUUGCUUGAGGAUUGUAGAGGAGAGUGGAAUUCACGGUGUAGCAGUGAAAUGCGUAGAUAUCGUGAGGAAGACCAGUUGCGAAGGCGACUCUCUGGGCAAUUCCUGACACUGAGGCACAAGGGCCAGGGGAGGCAAACG
rnacentral:rRNA from 1 species